CUGCAGCUAAUUAAGCCAACUGGUUUCCUUUACUUGUGGUGGCCCAGUGUGCAAUGGCUGCAAACAGCAAUCUCCUUGGUAGUGUAUGCAGCCUGUUGCUUAUAUGGGUUGCCCUAAGGCACCUUGGAGACAGCA
ensembl:snoRNA SNORA70 Small nucleolar RNA SNORA70